CCUACGGGUGGCAGCAGUGGGGAAUAUUGGGCAAUGGGCGCAAGCCUGACCCAGCAACGCCGCGUGAAGGAAGAAGGCUUUCGGGUUGUAAACUUCUUUUAAGAGGGAAGAGCAGAAGACGGUACCUCUUGAAUAAGCCACGGCGAACUACGUGCCAGCAGCCGCGGUAAUACGUAGGUGGCAAGCGUUGUCCGGAUUUACUGGGUGUAAAGGGCGUGUAGCCGGGCUGACAAGGCAGGUGUGAAAUCCGGGGGCUCAACCCCCGAACUGCAGUUGAAACUGUUGGUCUGGAGUAUCGGAGAGGCAGGCGGAAUGCCUGGUGUAGCGGUGAAAUGCGUAGAUAUUAGGAGGAACACCAGUGGCGAAGGCGGCCUGCUGGACGAAAACUGACGGUGAGGCGUGAAAGCGUGGGGAGCAAACAGGAUUAGAUACCCGAGUAGUC
rnacentral:rRNA from 1 species